CAACUCUCAACCUCAUUUUUAUCCCAAUUGAACCAUAGGAGAGAGAAAAAAAGAAAGAAUAAAAGAAUAAAAAAAAGAAAAACGAAGAGAAAAGAUUAGAGGACGCUUGGCCUUGGAAGAGAAAAGAGAAAACUAAGAGGCUUUCCUCCCCACCCACACACCAUUGUUGAGGUUUGAAAAGAUUUUGGUGGUUUGCCUUGUGGGUUUCAAGCAAUGAUCAAUAAAGAUCCACGAAACCCAAGGCAUGCAUGUGGAAGAAUCUUGGAAUGCAUGGUUAUUUUGAGUAGAUUAAGUGGUGGUUUUCAAGAUCGAAGGUAGUUGGAUCCUAAGUCAAGGUGCUCCCUCCUAUUCAUCUUUCGGUAGGUUCACUACGACUCUAAUGAUAGCACCCAUGGCCAGAGUCACUCCGCUAGUUGUCAAUGGUCUGUUGUAUGGUUAUAAGUGAUGGCUUAAUGUAAAUUGUGAGAUUUGUUGUGAACUUUGUAUGUACUUGGUUUUCAUGAUUUAAAUUUUCAUAAGAUGGUUAUUAGAAAUUACAAGUUUUUGAUCCUAAAGAAAAAGAAGUGAUAGAUGGACUACUGACGGAUUUACAUAGAGAAGCUUGCUUGGGACUGGUGGGCUAUGCCUAUUAGGCCUAUACGUCGGUCAUGGCCGGAGGUUUUGGGCUGGGACAGUAAUUGUGAGAAAAUGUUUGUGGCAGCAAAGAUCUAUAAGGUUUGAAGGAGAAUAAUUGCAUGCAUGUCACCAAACCCUUGUUAAAUGGUGAAAAUUAAGGUAUAAAGAAGAGGGCUUGGGAGGAAUAUUGAAGUGCAUGAAAGAUCAAAGCCAUUUUAAAGGUAAGCAUGCAAUGAAAAUUGAUUGUGCUAUCUUGGGUACGAUUGGGAAGAAUGUUUAUACUAGUUAUGGUUUUGAUGUUGUGUGAAUGUAAUGUUUUGAAAAAGUAAAA